rnacentral:misc_RNA from 1 species
GAUGAAGAACGUAGUGAAAUGCGAUAAGUAAUGUGAAUUGCAGAAUUCAGUGAAUCAUCGAAUCUUUGAACGCACAUUGCGCCCCUUGGUAUUCCGAGGGGCAUGCCUGUUCGAGUGUCAUAUUAACCACUCCCGCUUGCGGGGUCUUGGGCUUCGCCUCCGGGCGGGCCUUAAAAUCAGUGGCGGUGCCGUCGGGCUCUACGCGUAGUAAAUUUUCUCGCGAUAGGGUCCCGGUGGAUGCUUGCCAACAACCCCCAACUUCUUAAGGUUGACCUCGGAUCAGGUAGGGAUACCCGCUGAACUUAAGCAUAUCAAUAAGCGGAGGA